GGAGCUGGCUUGCCAGCGAUGGUCGUUAACGAUGACGCGUGUUGUCUGAAGGAACGCGAUGUCUGGGCAUCCAUCGCUGGCAAGCCAGCUCC
rnacentral:misc_RNA from 1 species